CCCAUGUCUUUGUUAUAUGAUAGAAUAAUACGUGAGGAGGAGCAGGGAAAUGAAAACUUAGCGCCAAACAACCACUAAUCGUCUUCAAUUUCCCAUAGAAAAUCGAAACGUCUUCCGACACUUGGAAACAUGUUGUCGAUUGGAUGCCUAGAAGUUGCGUCUCUGAUAAAUAAAAGUAAGAUGUGGCAUCUGUAUUUUUCGCUUUCAGUCAAUUUCUCUGAUAUUUGGUUUCUAAAUACUCCAAUUUCUAUAGUUUUCAAGUUCUAGUUUGUGAUUUCUGAUAUUUCUAAUCUGGUUAAAAGAUCUCGGUUCAAGCCUUCUAGGUCCGAGAUAUUGUGAUUCUGAUACAACGAUUCUAAUUUGGGUGGGUUGAAUUUCUCUUAUUCCGACUUCUCAUUCUAAUUUCUGAUGUGAUUUAUGUUUAGGGUUUUUGUUAUUUGUUUCGGAAAUCAGAUUGUUUUUUGUGGUUGUUCAUGUUUUACUAGACUCGAUUUCUUCUCUCUUUGAGUUCGAAAUCUACUUAUUUAGGUUUGUUUCAAAAAUCUGCUUGAUUUCUUCUCUUUUUUAUUACAAAAAAAAUCAAAGUCUUUUAAAGACCUAUUUGGAUUUUGGUAUCUGAUUUCACCUCUGUUUGAGCUAUUAUUCCUCCUCUCUUUGGCUCGAAAUUUUUAGCUUUGUAUAUGAUUUUUGUGGUUUGCUUCAGUAAAGUGCAAUGCUAUUGCUAGCUAGUAAUUAAAAGUGCAUUGUUAUUGUUUGGUAAUACAGGAAAGUGCAAUGGUAUGGCUGGAUCAAUCUCGAAAGUACAUUGAUGUGGCUAGCUUAUUUUCAAAAGCUGAAUGUUGCUAUUUUCAUUAUUAAUUUAAUAAUUUUUGGUGAUGUAACUUGUAGUAGUUAUUACUUUAAUUUUACCCAUAUUAUUUUCCAGCCACAAUUGGCUUUUUUGUUAUUUAAUUUAGCUUUGUACUUUAAAAAAAUGUUCUCCUAAAAGCUGUUUUAUUUUUAUUAUUUAUUAUUUUGAUUAUUAUUUGCUUUUUAAGAGGAAUAGUUAGGGGUUGUUUGAUAUGCUCAUGGUAGAUUCUAAAUGGCCUUGAUAUCUCUCAAAUAUGAUAUGGGGUUUAUUUUUUUGCCCAAGCUGGUAUGUUUUUUGAUCGCUUCAAUGAAAGUUUGAAGUUAAGUAUGAUUUGGAUGUUUUUAUAGCCUUUGUUUAUGGUCUCGUAAGUGUUGCAGUAGCUUCAAAAUUCUGUUGUUGUUGCACAUUUGGUGCAAAGUACAUGUCUUUAGAUGUUAGCCCCAUAAAGUUCAUUGUCUUUUUCUAAACAAAUUUUGAUUGACCUCUACUACGAGUUUUUUAGUUUUAGUUGCUUUUUUGUUGUCUAUUUUAACGAUUGCGUGUACAUAUUGUUUUUGGUUGUAUUUUUACAAAUAUUUGAAUACAAAUAUAUAUUGAACUUCUGUUUUAUACAUGUUAGCUAUGUAUGUAUUUGGUGUAUUGUAUGGUACAAGCAUGGGGGCAUUAUGAUUUUCAUCUCGCCCGGGGCAUAGAAAACCAAUGGACCGGCCCUGGUGAAUGCAAUACAGAGCAUGAUUGUUGACGGCGCCUUCUUCCCCAAAUCCUUAUAGGGCAUUUGAUUCGUCAUAUUACCCUCGAUCUUCUGCUCUCAAUUCUCAAGUAACUCUCUCUCACUCUCUCACGUCGUCUGACCACUACCAUCAGAACUAACAAAUGGUAGCGUUAUACCGCACCACCAUAAG
rnacentral:lncRNA from 1 species